rnacentral:misc_RNA from 1 species
GAUGAAUAACGUAGCGAAAUGCGAUAAGUAAUGUGAAUUGCAGAAUUCAGUGAAUCAUCGAAUCUUUGAACGCACAUUGCGCCCGCCAGUAUUCUGGCGGGCAUGCCUGUCCGAGCGUCAUUUCAACCAUCAAGCCCCGGGCUUGUGUUGGGGACCUGCGUCCGACGCAGGCCCUGAAAACCAGUGGCGGGCUCGCUGUCCACACCGAGCGUAGUAACUAACCUCGCUAUGGAGUGGCGCGGGCGCCUGCCGUAAAACCCCCAAUUUCACAAGGUUGACCUCGGAUCAGGUAGGAAUACCCGCUGAACUUAAGCAUAUCAAUAAGCGGAGGC